CCAAAACGUAAUGCUCGCCUACAUAAAAUGUCUGUGAGGCGAGCGCUCAAUCUUCGAUGAUGUGUUUGUUUGAUAGAUAGGCUAUUUUAGUUAAAAUAAUUUGAAAAAUACGUCCCGUCAAGUGCGACUCGCACACCGAGGGCUCCGUAUGAUUCGCUGUACAAAUAAGUAUGUCGUCUUGCCUAUGUGUCUGGUCUAUAAAAAAAAAUACGUCAAAGUCAAUGUCAUCAUAUUUUAUAAAAAUAAAUGUGAGCAGCAAAGCAAAGGAUGAAGGAAAGUGUCGAUUGGAUAUCGAUAGUAGAAGUCGAGGUUGUCUUCCUAGUGAACAGAAAAAUUGUGUUUCGGAAAAUGUAACCUUUCGGAAAUAUUUCUUCCCAAGAGAAAUGUAUUGUUACAGCAUUUUUAACAAAGGAACUGAUUCGUAAAAUUGUGUUUUUUAUAUCACAAAGUUUGCAAAGUUAACUUGUGUCAAAGUUCCGAAUAGCACUUGUAAAAAUAUUAGUGUUUUUGCAUCAAGAAAAUUGCAAACCUGCUAUGUAUUGUGCUAGUUAUAUAAUUGUGUGUAUAUAUUAAAACAAUAAAGUGUAUCACGUAAACAUUUUUAGCAGGUCGAAUAAAAAAGAAUGGUUUUUGUGAUGUUUUGAUUUGUGCAUAUGAAGAAUUACUUACCUACCAACAAAAUCAAUUUUAAUUAGGUUAUGUUUUAAUUAGGUAUAAACGCUAAAUUAAUAAUUUUACACUAUGUUUUUGUUCAUCAGAUGCCCCUACCUAUGGUAUUUUCAUCAACACAAGAGGGAAUUCGAAGCUGUUUAUUUACCAAAAUCAUACAUUUAGAUUCAUGUACAAGAAAGCUUAUGGUAGCCAACUAUGGUAUUGUUGGUAUUUCUUCAGUCGAUGCUGUCCGGCAAAAUUAAGAAUAAACAACAAUGGGAAGGUUACGGAAAGCAUCGGAAGACACAACCAUGAUCCACCAACAUGCUGGAUGACCCCAGAUGGAAAGUCAUACAGUCUCCCUCCAAUACCGGACAAGACUACACCCUAACAUGACAGUGUAACUAACGAUUAAAAGUAUUUUGAAACUUUUUGUGUUUCACUGCCCUUAAUCUUGUUGUGAAUGUAAUAACUGCUUCCUACUUUGCGAAUUUGCUUGCAAAAAGUGGAACUGUUUUUGUACUAUUUAAAGUAUAACUAGAUUAGAGACCUGUUUUGACAUCAGGACAGAACGAUACAUUUAAAGUUACAGUCAGUUCUUAAAAAUGUACAUAAUUGUCAAAAUAAGAUCUCGAGGAUUAUGAAAUGUGAAUAAAAAUAUUAGUGUUAAAAUCUACUUUGUGUAUUUUAAAGUUUUGAUAUUAAGAUUUGUCAUCUUUGUUGCUAAUUUUGUAUAAUUUUAUUUAUGAUUAGUCAUUUUUGUUUACAAAUGUUUGAACAAAACAAGGCAACUGUACUGCCAUAUACAAAUUUCAUCAAAGAUUUAACUUACCUAUACCUGAUGUAAGUUUAUAUAUUGGCAGCAUUGCUUUUGUUCAUAUAGAGCCAUGUUUAAAGCACUCAUUCAAACAGAAAAAAAAGAAAAUUUAUGUUAUCAUUCCUAUAUUUUGUAUUUUAUUUCCUUUGUUUUGAAGAUUUAAAAAUGUAUACUUCCAAAAUAUUAUUAAUGUUAAUCUAUUCUUAAAUUAGUUAAAAAAAAUGUUAUUGAAUAUAUUGCAUUUUCGUUUUAUAUUUGUUGUCAGACUUCAGUAUUUUACUGAUUUUGUAUGUUGAUUUUAUGGUAUUUUUAUUUAUUUUGCCAAUAUUCAUCUUUAUAAUACAAUAAAUGUCUACUACCACUAGAGAUUUUAAACGUAGAUAGAUGUAUGUGUGUAUCGGUAUAAUAUCUACCUAGUGCAUUUAAAAUACAGUACGUUUUGUGUUUUUAAUCUACUACCAUUACUACUAACAACCUCUGUAUUUUUAAAUACCUUAUUUUACUACUAUACCAGAUUUCCGCGAAAUCUUAUAUGUAUUACUUUUUUUUUAUAACAUCUGUGGUCUCUGUCAGGGUUUUUUUGCUAUGUUACGUAUGUAUCAUGUAUAGUUUGAUUGUUUUUAUCUUAGCGACACUCCCCAUUUACUGUCUAAUUCCAAAUAGUCCUUAGACGAUUAUCAGUGUUUUCGUCCUCUCUCUUACCAGUUGUUUUAAAGAACAACCGGGAAUAAUAGGCGAAAGGUUAACUUGUCGCCUACCUCGUUUGAUUUAAAUUCGCACGGUCUUCGGCGUCCUUUAUAACCUUUGACACGCAUCCUCCUUGAUUGUCAGACAUUUUGUCCAAAAACUCCUUUCGCACCCCCGACUGGGGUUGUUUCUGGACUGAUAAUCUACAAACUCAUUGGAUUUGUUUUUGGUCAAAAGUUUUACAGAUUACGUUUGAAAAUCCCCUGUGCAGAUAAUCUUCUAAGAGAUCUUUGGAAUAGAUGAUUUUUUAAAAUCUUAUUAGACCAUAUAAAACUGCAAUUGUCUUCGGUAGGCUACUGCGUUGCUAAGCUUUAAAAUUUAUCAGUGAUAAAUAUUUAUAUACCCCAUUAUUCCUAAAAAAGUUAAAGCAUACUUCAAGCUAAAGUAUGUUAUGUCACUGUCGCAUUUCACAAUAUUUGCCAUUGAUAGAGCGAGAAAACAUAUUUUAGCUUAUAGUAUGCUUUAUCUUUUUAAUGAAUAACAGAACGAAAGUUCCAUUUGAUAUUGUAGUAUACUGUGCCUUAAUGUAUUUAAACCAAAUACGAAUAUAAAUGGACAAAAGCCUUGA